rnacentral:rRNA from 1 species
UACGUAGGUCCCGAGCGUUGUCCGGAUUUAUUGGGCGUAAAGCGAGCGCAGGUGGUUUAUUAAGUCUGGUGUAAAAGGCAGUGGCUCAACCAUUGUAUGCAUUGGAAACUGAUAGACUUGAGUGCAGGAGAGGAGAGUGGAAUUCCAUGUGUAACGGUGGAAUGCGUAGAUAUAUGGAGGAACACCGGUGGCGAAAGCGGCUCUCUGGCCUGUAACUGACACUGAGGCUCGAAAGCGUGGGGAGCAAACAGG